UUGUACACAUGAGAUCUUCGAGGUAGAACGUUUCAGACUUUAGUGUGGAAUGAAACGACUCAUUGGGGCAUUAUCAUUAG
rnacentral:misc_RNA from 1 species